UACAGAGGUCUCAGGCGUUGUUCGGAUUCAUUGGGCGUAAAGGGUGUGUAGGUGGCGCCGUAAGUGGGGUGUGAAAUUUCGAGGCUUAACCUCGAAACUGCAUUCCAUACUGCGGUGCUUGAGGACUGGAGAGGAGACUGGAAUUUACGGUGUAGCAGUGAAAUGCGUAGAUAUCGGGAGGAAGACCAGUGGCGAAGGCGGGUCUCUGGACAGUACCUGACACUGAGGCACGAAGGCCAGGGGAGCAAACGGG
rnacentral:rRNA from 1 species